AGCGAACGCUGGCGGCAGGCUUAACACAUGCAAGUCGAGCGGGCGUAGCAAUACGUCAGCGGCAGACGGGUGAGUAACGCGUGGGAACGUACCUUUUGGUUCGGAACAACACAGGGAAACUUGUGAUAAUACCGGAUAAGCCCUUACGGGGAAAGAUUUAUCGCCGAAAGAUCGGCCCGCGUCUGAUUAGCUAGUUGGUGAGGUAACGGCUCACCAAGGCGACGAUCAGUAGCUGGUCUGAGAGGAUGAUCAGCCACAUUGGGACUGAGACACGGCCCAAACUCCUACGGGAGGCAGCAGUGGGGAAUAUUGGACAAUGGGCGCAAGCCUGAUCCAGCCAUGCCGCGUGAGUGAUGAAGGCCCUAGGGUUGUAAAGCUCUUUUGUGCGGGAAGAUAAUGACGGUACCGCAAGAAUAAGCCCCGGCUAACUUCGUGCCAGCAGCCGCGGUAAU
rnacentral:rRNA from 1 species